rnacentral:tRNA from 2 species
GGGCUCGUAGCUCAGUUGGUUAGAGCGCGUCCCUGAUAAGGACGAGGUCGACCGUUCGAAUCGGUCCGGGCCCACCA